rnacentral:rRNA from 1 species
GAUGAACGCUGACAGAAUGCUUAACACAUGCAAGUCAACUUGGUGGCGGACGGGUGAGUAACGCGUAAAGAACUUGCCUCACAGCUAGGGACAACAUUUAGAAAUGAAUGCUAAUACCUGAUACUGUGAGAGAGCUUUGCGUCCCAUUAGCUAGUUGGAGAGGUAACAGCUCACCAAGGCGAUGAUGGGUAGCCGGCCUGAGAGGGUGAACGGCCACAAGGGGACUGAGACACGGCCCUUACUCCUACGGGAGGCAGCAGUUGGGAAUAUUGGACAAUGGACCGAAGUCUGAUCCAGCAAUUCUGUGUGCACGAUGAAGUUUUUCGGAUCGUAAAACUCUGUUGUUAGAGAAGCGUUAGUAACUGAACGUCCCCUGACGGUAUCUAACCAGAAAGCCACGGCUAACUACGUGCCAGCAGCCGCGGUAAUUC